UGCCAGCAGCCGCGGUAAUACGGGGGGAGCAAGCGUUGUCCGGAAUCACUGGGCGUAAAGGGCGUGUAGGCGGCAUGACAAGUCUGGUGUGAAAUAUCUCGGCUCAACCGAGAAAACGCACUGGAAACUGUCAAGCUUGAGUAUCGGAGGGGAAGCUAGAAUUCCUGGUGUAGGGGUGAAAUCUGUAGAUAUCAGGAAGAAUACCGGUGGCGAAGGCGAGCUUCUGGCCAGAUACUGACGCUGAGAUGCGAAAGCGUGGGGAGCGAACAGGAUUAGAUA
rnacentral:rRNA from 1 species